rnacentral:rRNA from 1 species
AUUGAACGCUGGCGGCAGGCCUAACACAUGCAAGUCGAACGAGUGGCGGACGGGUGAGUAAUGUCUGGGAAACUGCCCGAUGGAGGGGGAUAACUACUGGAAACGGUAGCUAAUACCGCAUACCAUCGGAUGUGCCCAGAUGGGAUUAGCUAGUAGGUGGGGUAACGGCUCACCUAGGCGACGAUCCCUAGCUGGGAUGGGAGGAUGACCGGCCAACCGUGACCUGAGACACGGUCCAGACUCUUACGGGAGGCAGCAGUGGGGAAUAUUGCACAAGGGGCGCAAGCCUGAGGCAGCCAUGCCGCGUGUAUGAAGAAGGCCUUCGGGUUGUAAAGUACUUUCAGCGGGGAGGCGUUACCCGCAGAAGAAGCACCGGCUAACUCCGGGCCAGCAGCCGCGGUAUUC